GUUUUCUGGUUGUGGAUUGACAGUGAGUGGGUGAUUUGUGUGAGAACUAUUGCUUUUUGGUUGUGGUUUUAGUUUGUUUGCAGGUGUACGUAUCACAUUCUCAUCUGUCUGCCUCUCAACUGAUUCCUUCCAACUUUUUCUCCUUCAGUUUACCAAAGUCAAGUUUUAUUUGUACAAGAAUUAAAGCUGGUAUUAACUUGGCAAUGAGAAGUUCAUCAGAAAGGGUUAACCUUGCUGACUCUAAAAGAGGAAUGGUUUUGCCUUUCCAACCCCAUUCACUUGUAUUCAACCAUGUCAACUACUAUGCGGAUAUGCCUGUUGAAAUGAAGACCCAAGGGAUUGAAUAAGAUCGUCUUCAACUGCUACGGGAUGUUAGUGGUGCUUUCAGACCAGGGGUAUUGACGGCACUAGUAGGUGUUAGUGGUGUGGGGAAGACAACUCUGAUGGAUGUCUUGGCAGGAAGGAAGACCGGAGGGUAUAUUGAAGGAAGUAUUAGCAUUUCUGGCUACCCAAAGAACCAAGAAACAUUUGCACGUGUGAGU